AAGCCACCCGCGGCAGGCUUCCCCACGCUGGCAGACGCGUGCCCCGCGCCGGCCCACCCCCGUCGGCCGUCGCUCUGCCCGCUCCGCGCAGGUCGACACGGUUAUUUUGAUGCCCACGCACGCGGUCCAGUCCAGAUCAAGAACCCACCACGCCACGCUCAAACGAGACGACGACGAAUCCAGCCACCGUCACCAUCGCCACCGCCGACACAAUCCCGCCGCAGCCCCCCGCGCACUGGUGUCCGAACCCAGCCCAAUCCGCGCUGCCGAAUUCUGGUCUCUGCCCUGCCCGCCCCGCGGCGCGGCCUUCCCACCGCCUCUCCGUCCUGCUCCCAUCCGCCGCGCUCGCUAGCGAAACCGCUCCCCGAGCUCCAGGUGGUGUGGUGCCUGGCGCGCUUCACAACGCCAUAAAUGCCACCCAUCAAGGCUCCUCCCGCCAUCUAGCCCUCUUCUCCCUGACCCUGCGCCCGCGGCUCGGUGCGGUUACCGUUUCCUUGGCGCGCGCGUCAGCACUCCGCCGAUGCACGCGCCGUUGGAGGCCAUGAACGGGAGGGCGCGGAGGCCGGCGGCGGCGCGCGGCGCCGCCCCGAGGAACGAGAAAGCGAUGGAGAAGGAGCAGAGGAGGCCACCCAGCUCGAAGACGGCGCCGGUGUCCAUGAAGGCGUCGCCCGCAAAUGCGACGCCGCAAUGCAUGAAGAACAGGAAAAUUGCACUGCAGCAGGACGUGGACAAGCUGAGGAUGAAACUGCGGCACGAGGAGAACGUCCACCGAGCUCUGGAGCGGGCGUUCACGAGGCCGCUCGGCGCUCUACCUCGCCUCCCUCCUUUCCUGCCGUCUCAAACGUUGGAGCUUCUGGCCGAAGUCGCCGUCCUGGAGGAGGAGGUCGUCCGGCUGGAGGAGCAGGUCGUCAAUUUCCGGCAAGGACUGUACCGGGAGACCGUCAUCACCACCUCCAUGGCGGCGAAGAGCGUGUACUUCCCGGACGGUUACCGGAGCACGCCGGCACGGCACAAGCCACCUGCACAACCGCAGAGUCCAGAGCUGUCUACCUCGACGCGCCAAGGCUCCGAUCAAGAUGCCGCUGAUUGGCUGCCAUCUUUGAGGCGAGCCACCAAUGCGAUGUGGACACCAAGAAGGCCCGGUCGUUCCCUGAGCCAAGGCGACAGUCCGGGGAAGGAGAACCAGUCGUUCGGCAGUGGCACUAAUUCGUGCAGAGAGUUCGGCCUGGCGCCCUUGAGUAAAGUGCCAGGAUGCAGGGUAGUACAGGUAGCGGAGACACGCGCAGGUUUUCAGACAACGAGUGCAGUGGAAGACCACAAAGCUGUUGAGGGCAGCAAUGGCACUGGUCCAAGCAAGGCCUCAACGGCGGCGAACGAAGUCUCGGAGGAGCUACUGGCGUGCCUGCUGGCCAUCUUCUCGCAGAAGAGCGCAUCCAGCGGCCAAGACGAGGAGCGGGUGUCGCUGCCGCCGGUCUCCGGCUCCUGCGGAAGCAGCUCAGCAGACCCCUACUGUGUCCCAGAAUUCGGGUGGCGGGAUAUUGGCCGGUACAAGCAGUUCCGGUCAGUCGACAUGAACACUUGUGCCGGCGACGACUCCGCUCUUGGCCAGAGACUGAAGUGAGUUUCCAUUGAUCGGGCACUGCUCCGGAAGCUCUCCUUGGUUGACCUAGCGGGCCUCUCCCACCAGCAUAAUAGGCUGGCGUUCUGGAUCAACACCUACUACUCCUGCAUGAUGAACGCAUUUCUCGAGCAGGGAGCGCCUAGCGACCCCCGUAUGCUGGUGGCCAUGAUGCCCAAGGCGACCAUCAACGUCGGCGGGCGCGUGCUGAGCGCCGUGGCGAUCGAGCACUUCAUUCUCCGGCUGCCCCACUACGACGAUGACGACGCAAAAGCACGUAAGGUUGCUGGCCUGGCCGGCUGGCCGCAUCAUUCAUCGCCGCCGUGUCGUCGUCUUUCCUCCACUGAAGACGCUCGAGCACCGUCGUAUAUAUAGGACUACGAAUGAGCUCUGACAGUGGACGUUUUGGUUGGCAUGGGGCAUGCCAGGUGCACACUGACUGAAGCGAGGAAUGGCGACGGCCAGGCCGUGCUCGGGCUGGACUGGCCGGAGCCGCUGCUGACGUUCGCGCUCUCCUCCGGCAGACGGUCGUCGCCGGUGAGUUUCGAUCGGCUUGGUUCCGUCCGUGCCAUGUACCUGCUAGCUGCUGCAUUUCUUUUGCUCGUAGAGCGCUAGCUAGCUAGCUAGCUGUGCCCCGAUCCAGGACCGACUGGCAGAAGGAAAAGGUGCCGUCCAGUCCUUGCUGCUCCCUUUCAACUGCUAUUGAUUGAUAGGUACCGAGCCAAGCAUGUGCCAGUGUUGAGCAAGUCGCAUUUUAAUUAGUACCGCGCAGCUUAUAAAUAGGGGUACAAACCGAAACUGUUAGUUGAACUUUAAUAAGAAGUGAGGAGACAAUAUUCUAAUAUCCGUUUAUCCAUUGGAGUAGAACAUUUAGUUCAUAUAUAUACCCUAAUAUAUGGAGUAAAUAAUCAUCGGGAAUCGAGUCGCGGGUACCCGUUGUCAUGUCUGCUACGGGCUUGGAUGACUGCAAUGCAAGGACGGGCUUGGAUGACUGCAAUGCAAGGACCAAGGAGCACAUAAACAUCACUGUUCAUUUAUAUUAUAAUCCAGCUGUUUGUAUAGUCUGCUGUAAUUCUCCGUCCCAUGAGAGCUGCCUGUUCAUCAAAGCACUUUGGCCAUGAAAUUGAGAGACAUCAUGACACAGGCAAUUACGACGGCACUUUUUACUUUUUUAGGUGCUCUGGACUGGACGCCCGGUCUGUCCUCCGAGCUGUCUCCUCAAGGCAAAUGAUUUUAGCCGCCACCGCUUCUUGUCUCUGAAGGUGAGGGUCUACGCGGCCGGCCGGAGUCGACGAGAAGCUGGAGGCGGUGAAGCGGGAGUACCUGCAGGCCGCGGUGGGCGUCUCGCCGGCGAGCGGGCUGCCGAACCUCCUCCUUCACUGGUACCUGCUGGCUGCUUGACUCCGCCAAGGACGUGGACCGGGUGUGCCUGCAGCUGUCCCGCGACCCGUGUGCGCCCUGCCGGAUACCUUCUGCUUCUGGCCCUGUUGUCGUAGAACGUUGGAGUGUGUACACAGUUUUGGUUGGGCCGUGAUUCUUUUUGCUGUUUCAACCGUGAAUUUGUUGUUUGCUUACGUUGUACACACAGUUUUCAGUUUUGGACUACAGGUCUGCAGAGAUAAGGCCGUAAGAGCAUGUACAGUGGAGAGACAUCAAAACAGUUCUCCAAGUACAUGAGACAACAAAGAGACUCUAUUGUACAAUUGAGUGUCUAUAAACGUAGUUUAUUAAUAAAUACAGAAUUAAAUGUAUUUGUAUAGCAUCAGAUCGAUAGAACAGACGACAAAUUCGUACA